CGGGGACAGGCAGACUCCCCAUCAGACGCUCGUCGUCCAAGCUCUGC
ncrna:unclassified sequences chromate-resist RNA